GUCCUACGGGGCGCAGCAGUGAGGAAUAUUGGUCAAUGGUCGGGAGACUGAACCAGCCAAGCCGCGUGAGGGAUGAAGGUACAGAGUAUCGUAAACCUCUUUUGUCAGGGAACAAAGGCGGGGACGCGUCCCCGGAUGAGUGUACCUGAAGAAAAAGCAUCGGCUAACUCCGUGCCAGCAGCCGCGGUAAUACGGAGGAUGCGAGCGUUAUCCGGAUUUAUUGGGUUUAAAGGGUGCGCAGGCGGUCUGUUAAGUCAGCGGUCAAAGCCCGGGGCUCAACUCCGGCCCGCCGUUGAAAAUGGCAG
rnacentral:rRNA from 1 species